rnacentral:rRNA from 1 species
CCUACGGGCGGCAGCAGUGGGGAAUAUUGGGCAAUGGGCGCAAGCCUGACCCAGCAACGCCGCGUGAAGGAAGAAGGCUUUCGGGUUGUAAACUUCUUUUCUCAGGGACGAAGCAAGUGACGGUACCUGAGGAAUAAGCCACGGCUAACUACGUGCCAGCAGCCGCGGUAAUACGUAGGUGGCAAGCGUUAUCCGGAUUUACUGGGGGUAAAGGGCGUGUAGGAGGGGACGCAAGUCAGAUGUGAAAACCACGGGCUCAAACUGUGGCCUGCAUUUGAAACUGUGUUUCUUGAGUACUGGAGAGGCAGACGGAAUGCCUGGUGUAGCGGUGAAAUGCGUAGAUAUUGGGCGGAACACCAGUGGCGAAGGCGGUGUGCUGGAGAGAGACUGACGCUGAGGCGCGAAAGCGUGGGGAGCGAACAGGAUUAGAUACCCGGGUAGUC